GCGGUCUUGGCUCAGUCGGGAGAUCGCUAGACUGAAGUGGAUUUCAGUUAAAAAUCUGGUGGCAAUAUGUUCGAUCCACAGAGGCCGUA
rnacentral:tRNA from 1 species